AUAAAAAACUAAUUUUUAUAAUCAAAAGGGGUGACUAGGAAUAACAACCAAUUGCUUUAAUUAUUUUAAGAAGAGAAGCUCAUAAGGGUCUCCUAUACCCUUGAAUCAAAGACUAAUUGAUCGCGAACCACUCAUGAAUAAUUCAUUAUUUUUCAGUGGCCAUCCUACGGUUUAAAAAUUCGCUCCCCGCGCCUGGGAGGUCACUGGGAAUUCCCAGCUGUCUAGUCUUAGAAUCAGACGCGUAUUGGUUUUUUAGUUCUUACAAUAUUGAUUAAUUUAGUUUGUAUCGUAAUAUGCUUUGCCUGGCUUACUAUUUACAGCUACAAACUUCUAAAGGUGGCUACUUUAACCUGACAGGCCCCUAAUAUCUAGUCACGAUGGAGUGAGCUUUUGAUAGGACAACAACACCUGUCUAUAAUAUCAUCGCGUUAAGCUACAUGUAUACGCAUAGCGUAUCGAUAAAUAGUACGUGCAUAUGUUGCCAGGACGUGCGCAAUAAUAGUGUAAUUUGCUCUCCAACAAUACGCUACUCUACGCGACUCCAAUUCGAGGUCAAGUGCACAACAUUGAUUGGGUUGUUCCUCGGCAGUAAAACCGGAAGUGUAUCAUUUUUUAUAUCAGUUCUUAUUUUGGUAAUUCUCUUGUAAUCGAUUCCAGUCCAUACAUCAUCAGAUGAGCGUAUCAUUCCCUAAGUAUCUACUAACCAACCGGUUCAUCAAUGUCAGGAAUAGUACAAAGUUUAAAAGAGAGGUUCGGAAAACCAUUUAGAAAACGCAGGAAAUUAGGAGAAGAUGAGGAAGAGUGGU